AGAGAAGUCUGGGAGGAAUGAAACAGAAACAAAGGGUGGCACAUUUGCACAAAAGAAAUGAGAGCAAAAGAAAACGGAAUAGAGAGAGAACAAGGGGUGAGGUCGUGACGAUUAGUUUAUUGGAAAAUCAACCUUUCCGUUGGUCCGUUUCCUCUUCCUCAACCGAUCAAAUUUACCAUGAAAGCUCCCUCCUUCUUCAUCCAAAAAUGGGUGAAAUCUCCCCAAAAUUUCAGCUCGUAAACCACCUCAAAAUCACCUCUAAAAUAUCAUUUUUUCAGCUCUAAGAACCCAGCUGAAUUCUAUCACCAAACACCAUGGAGACGCAACUCCGAACCAGCAAAACGCCAACCCAAACCCAGCUGGAAUCGACCCCAUAAACGACCCAAAAAAAACAGCUCUAAAGCCUUGUCAAAUCUCCUUAAAAUAGCCCAAAAAUAUCACCCAAAAUAGCUGGGAAAAUAGCUUCAGAAACAACCACGAAAUCCAGCUGAACUACCUCUAAAAACAACAUUAAAAGAACCUUCGAAACGCCUUAUUUUAGCUCCAACAACCUCACCCAAAACUACCUGAAAACAGUGACAAAAAUCAGCUCCAUUCACCCCCAAAACUCAACAAAAUCAGCACCUAAAACUCAUCCCAAGAUACCUCAAAAUCCACCUCAAAAUCAGAUGCAAAACCUACUCAAAACAACCCCAAACCUUAGCUAAAAUCCCCACCACACAGCCAUGAAAGUUGGCUACAAAAGCUCCAUAAGAUUGUCAAAAACAACCGCUUAAACAGAUCCAAACUGACCAAAAUGAUGCUGCCGAAAACCAGCUGAAAUAUCGCCUCUAAACAUCCAAAAAAUCUGCCCUAAACCUAGUGAAACCCGCUCCCCAAAAACUAUAGUCGAACGAAGUCAGUCGAGCGGAAAUAUUACCAUUAGUGGUCUUUUACUACCAUUUUUUGUAGGUCAAAUUUUAAGUAUUGGAG
rnacentral:lncRNA from 1 species